rnacentral:rRNA from 1 species
UACGGGGGGGGCAAGCGUUGUUCGGAAUUACUGGGCGUAAAGGGCGUGUAGGUGGUUUCGUAAGUCUGGCGUGAAAUUUCCCGGCUUAACCGGGAGUGGUCGUCGGAUACUGCGGGACUAGAGGACGGUAGAGGCGUGUGGAAUUCCGGGUGUAGUGGUGAAAUGCGUAGAUAUCAAGAGGAACACCUGAGGUGAAGACGGGUUGCUGGGCCGACACUGACGCUGAGGCGCGAAAGCCAGGGGAGCAAACGGG